rnacentral:tRNA from 1 species
GCCGAGGUCGCCUAGCUCGGUAGGGCGCUAGCCUGGAGAGCUAGUGGGUCGCAAGGCCCUCGGGAGUUCAAAUCUCCCCCUCGGCG